UACGGGGGGGGCAAGCGUUGUUCGGAAUUACUGGGCGUAAAGGGCUCGUAGGCGGCCAACUAAGUCGGACGUGAAAUCCCUCGGCUUAACCGGGGAACUGCGUCCGAUACUGGAUGGCUUGAGUUCGGGAGAGGGAUGCGGAAUUCCAGGUGUAGCGGUGAAAUGCGUAGAUAUCAAGUGGAACACCAGUGGCGAAGGCGAGUCUCUGGACAUUUCCUGACGCUGAGGCACGAAAGCCAGGGGAGCAAACGGG
rnacentral:rRNA from 1 species